rnacentral:rRNA from 1 species
AGAGUUUGAUCCUGGCUCAGGAUGAACGCUAGCUACAGGCUUAACACAUGCAAGUCGAGGGGCAGCAUGGUCUUAGCUUGCUAAGGCCGAUGGCGACCGGCGCACGGGUGAGUAACACGUAUCCAACCUGCCGUCUACUCUUGGACAGCCUUCUGAAAGGAAGAUUAAUACAAGAUGGCAUCAUGAGUCCGCAUGUUCACAUGAUUAAAGGUAUUCCGGUAGACGAUGGGGAUGCGUUCCAUUAGAUAGUAGGCGGGGUAACGGCCCACCUAGUCUUCGAUGGAUAGGGGUUCUGAGAGGAAGGUCCCCCACAUUGGAACUGAGACACGGUCCAAACUCCUACGGGAGGCAGCAGUGAGGAAUAUUGGUCAAUGGGCGGGAGCCUGAACCAGCCAAGUAGCGUGAAGGACGACGGCCCUACGGGUUGUAAACUUCUUUUAUAAGGGAAUAAAGUUCGCCACGUGUGGUGUUUUGUAUGUACCUUAUGAAUAAGCAUCGGCUAAUUCCGUGCCAGCAGCCGCGGUAAUACGGAAGAUGCGAGCGUUAUCCGGAUUUAUUGGGUUUAAAGGGAGCGUAGGCGGGCUUUUAAGUCAGCGGUCAAAUGUCGUGGCUCAACCAUGUCAAGCCGUUGAAACUGUAAGCCUUGAGUCUGCACAGGGCACAUGGAAUUCGUGGUGUAGCGGUGAAAUGCUUAGAUAUCACGAAGAACUCCGAUCGCGAAGGCAUUGUGCCGGGGCAUAACUGACGCUGAGGCUCGAAAGUGCGGGUAUCAAACAGGAUUAGAUACCCUGGUAGUCCGCACGGUAAACGAUGAAUGCUCGCUAUGGGCGAUAUAUUGUCCGUGGCCAAGCGAAAGCGUUAAGCAUUCCACCUGGGGAGUACGCCGGCAACGGUGAAACUCAAAGGAAUUGACGGGGGCCCGCACAAGCGGAGGAACAUGUGGUUUAA